rnacentral:rRNA from 1 species
AGCCUUUAGCCCAACAAGUAUUAAAGGUCCCACCUGCCCAGUGACUAUUUUAAACGGCCGCGGUAUCCUAACCGUGCAAAGGUAGCAUAAUCACUUGUCCCCUAAAUAGGGACUAGUAUGAAUGGUCAAAUGAGGACUAAACUGUCUCUUGCAUUUAACCAAUAAAACUGAUCUCUCAGUUAAAAAGCUGAGAUAUAAACAUAAGACGAGAAGACCCUGUGGAGCUUCAAACCAAGCCCAACCCUAAUGGGUGUUCGGUUUUUAGUUGGGGCGACUUCGGAGUACAAAAAAACCUCCGACACAACCAUAUCAAGACCAACACGUCAACAUAUGUUCUUACUGACCCGGUAUUUAAUAAAAUAUCCGAUCAAUGAACCAAGUUACCCCAGGGAUAACAGCGCUAUCCCCUUCUAGAGUCCUUAUCGACAAGGGGGUUUACGACCUCGAUGUUGGAUCAGGACACCCAAAUAGUGCAGCCGCUAUUAAAGGUUCGUUUGUUCAACGAUUAAUAGUCCU